GGCUUCGUGGUGUAACGAUAGCACACUCGGCGCGCAUUCGAGAGGUCCAGGUUCGAAUCCUGGUGAGGGCA
rnacentral:tRNA from 1 species